rnacentral:rRNA from 1 species
UCGGGAAUCUUGGGCAAUGGGCGAAAGCCUGACCCAGCAACGCCGCGUGAGGGAUGAAGGCCCUCGGGUCGUAAACCUCUGUCGGGAGGGAAGAACGGUAGCCUUUCAAAUAGGUGGGCUGCCUGACGGUACCUCCAAAGGAAGCACCGGCUAACUCCGUGCCAGCAGCCGCGGUAAUACGGAGGGUGCGAGCGUUGUUCGGAAUCAUUGGGCGUAAAGCGCGUGUAGGCGGCUUGGCAAGUCGGAUGUGAAAUCCCGGGGCCCAACCCCGGAACUGCAUUCGAAACUGCCUCGCUAGAGUCCCGGAGAGGAUGGCGGAAUUCCCGGUGUAGAGGUGAAAUUCGUAGAUAUCGGGAGGAACACCAGUGGCGAAGGCGGCCAUCUGGACGGUGACUGACGCUGAGACGCGAAAGCGUGGGGAGCAAACAGGAUUAGAUACCCCCGUAGUCC